rnacentral:rRNA from 1 species
UACGGAGGGUGCAAGCGUUAAUCGGAAUUACUGGGCGUAAAGCGUGCGUAGGCGGUUCGUUAAGUCUGUUGUGAAAGCCCCGGGCUCAACCUGGGAAUGGCAAUGGAUACUGGCGAGCUAGAGUGUGUCAGAGGAUGGUGGAAUUCCCGGUGUAGCGGUGAAAUGCGUAGAGAUCGGGAGGAACAUCAGUGGCGAAGGCGGC